AGGGUUGCAGUUCAGUGGUGGGGCAUCUGCUUUGCAUACAGAAGGUUCCAGGUUCAAAUCCUGGCAUCUCCA